AGCUUUGCCCAGUGGCAGUAUUGUAGCCAGUGAGGUUUAUCCAAGGUAUGAUCAUUGCUAAUUGAAAACUAUGUCCUUUCAGCUCAAAAGAGGGAAAGAUGCCACUUUUCAGGCAGUUGACCCAGAAAUGUAAAGAACUGUAUUUC